CACGUAGGGCGCAAGCGUUGUCCGGAAUUAUUGGGCGUAAAGAGCUCGUAGGCGGUCUGUUGCGUCCGCUGUGAAAACUCGGAGCUUAACCCCGAGCCUGCAGUGGAUACGGGCAGACUAGAGGUAGGUAGGGGAGAAUGGAAUUCCCGGUGUAGCGGUGAAAUGCGCAGAUAUCGGGAGGAACACCGGUGGCGAAGGCGGUUCUCUGGGCCUUACCUGACGCUGAGACGCGAAAGCGUGGGGAGCGAACAGG
rnacentral:rRNA from 1 species